AAGAGAAGCUUCGGGGAAGUUUCUCUUGUUACCUUCAGCUGUCUGAUGGGACAACACAGAAAAAAAAUGAGACUCUGACAUGUGCAGGAUGAGGAUGAGAGGUAGCAGAAACACAGGAAAAUCCAAAUGGAUUUGAGGACAACACUUCACAAUGAGUUUUCAUGCUAACCUCACAUCCCAUGUGCUGCUGGUUCUCACGCAGGAAGAAAAAUGGAUCAUUGAGAAUGCCUCCAAACCAAUGUCCUGAUGCUGAGGUUUUUUGCUUGAUGAAGUACCAUUGAAUUGGAAUAGUUAAAGUAAAGAAGGAUGAAGGUCAUGAGACAGUUCUACACUCAGAUGGAAAACCUGAGAACGGAAACAAGGACUUCAGCAAAACCACUGACCAUAUCUGCAAGAGCUGCAUAUACUUGGAGAAGAGGAAAACAGCUUCGUAAUAUUUCAAAAAAUUUGGAUUGAAAAUGUAUGCAUAGAAACCUACCUGUAAGUGCAUGGGGGAUUCAUCUACAGUGUGGCUGGAGCAACUCUGCAUUUCUAAACUUAAUUUUAAGUAUUGUGGUCAAAAAAUAUCAUUCAAGAUUGAGAGACAUUGUUUCUCUGGAAAAGAUGACUUAAGGUAUCGCAAUGAAAUGUGGUAAUUAGGAAAAGGAAGUUGUUUUGACAAAUGGUGUCAUUCAAAAAUAUAGUGUAAAUGACUACAUUUUGUGUUCAGUUAGAAUAAGCUGUGGAAUAUGAAGUCUUUGAUGGGGGGGGAGGGGAAGAAAAAAAAAACAAAACAAAACACCACUUCUUAUACUUCUAGUUAGGGUUUUCAUUGUGGGUGUAGUGCUGUGGAGAGAACUUAAUAGGAAUUUUGCCUCAGGCUAACUUCUCUCCACAAACAAAAAAUGCAAUUCUAAUGUUUCCAAAUGCCGGGCAUACUUCGUGUUGUGUAUUAAAACAGCCGCUUGUGAACUUUGAUUGAACAGACCCUUGUGAACCUUGAUUGGCUCUUUGUGGUGUAUCAUAAAAUAUGAAGAUACUGUAUGGAAACUACAUGCUGGAAAUGUAAGCCUCCAGGUAAUUUCUAUCUAGUUCUGCAGUCAUGUUGUUAAAAGGGUCACUUGUUAUUGUUUCACUUGACCUUCAUUGAAAUCUGCUCUACUACAACAUCACUGGAUGCAGUCCAAGAUGUUUUAUCUUUUAGCCAGUUCAAAUAUGCCUAGUCAUGCAGUCAUGCUGUAAUUAUUCUUUAUCUCAGUGCAACACAGAUUGCUGAAACGAACUACCUCUUGCCCUUACAUUCUGUUUAGACACAUCCACUAUGUGAGAAAGAACGUAUAAAAAAUUCCUUAUACCUUAUUUUGCAUAAUUUCUGCAGGAACCCCAUACACUCAAAGUCCUCAAUGAAAAAACACUUCAGCAGUCAGAUUAUUUUCAGUCAGUUAUCCAUUCAAAGUCUCAUCCUAGAGGUUCUCCAGUUUUAUAAUCUUCAUAGACGAGAGCCCAAGGUUGCAUGGUCAUAAAUGGCCAUAAAUGGCCAUAGUGGAUUUUUAACUUCAGCAAUUCAACACAGAUUACUUUAAAUCUCUAGCAUUAAAAACAAACAAACAAACAAACAAA